CUUUACCUAAAAUGUUAACGCCAUCUUGAUGCUCGGAAAUGUCUUUUUCUGUUUACCAAAAGGUUGAUUUAGCGGAUCGUACAUAUCAGAAUGACAAAUUUUGAUUGUUGAAGAUGCUGUUCAGUUUGCUAAGGUAUUUGAAAUGGAAAGAAAGAGAUAUAUGAACAUACAUUGACUGCUUUGAAUUUAAGGUGUAAAAUUGAGUUACAUGUGCCAAAAAAUAUGUUGAAAAUUUGAAAACUGUUAACAAGAGCAUCAACAAAUAGAAAUAAGAACAAUACCAGGUCUGGACUUUUGUGGCUGCAUGCAAUUAUUUCUAAAAUACCAGGAAAAAAAUGUAGCUGCACAGCAGACACCGCAGAUCAUAAAAUUGCAUGUAAAAAAGGAAAGCAUUCCUUUUCAUAGAAUCAAAGACCUCUUUUAACCAAGUCAAGAUGUUAUUAGACAUGUUAUCAUAUAUAUACUAUAUAUUAGUAUUUACAAAUAUAAGAAGUAUGUGUGACUAUGUCAUGUUACAUGUAUGCUGAGAAUAUUUUAAUGUCACAAGGAUAUGAAAUGGAUAAAUGAAAUAUUGUCAACCAUUUAAAUAAAAAAGACAGGCUCACAUAAAAAUCAAUUGCCUAUGUGAAAGUUCAAGUUGAAUAAAAUUGUCUAGAAUUAACAUACCAUAUAUCCAAAAGUACAGAAUUGCCUUUCUCAGAAAAUUUGUAUGUUUAAUAGAAUGAUAGUUGUAGCUUUUAUUUUCCUGGAACUGUUUCAAUAUAAAAUAGGGAGAUGUGGUAUGAUUGCCAAUGAGACACAUUUCCACCA